GUGAAUUCAGAAAUUGCACUUUUCUAAAAGUAGAUAUGAUAGCACCAUUUGGCCAACAGAUCCAAAAAGUGAAUUCAAUGAUAGGCAGAGACAAAGUCCCUGUCAACCCUACGCAAAGUCUUUAAAUUUCAGCACUAUAAUCACAGAGUUCAAUUGUGCAUUUUGAAUUUAGGACUUAGACUUGUGAACUGAAAGAGGGAAUAUAGCUGGCAGUGUUUUGGCUUCAUUCAGCAAACACUUGCAGGAAUUUAGAGCUGAAUGUGAUGAAAAGAAAAAGAAAAACAAAAUUCAUCCAUGCAUUGACUCCUACAAUUACGAAGUCACCAUAUGGAAUUGAGUAUCAGGCUAAAAAAGCAUUUUUCAGAAACAUUUUAGAUGCUGUUAAAAAAAUAAUUUGAAAAAAACUAUUUUG
rnacentral:misc_RNA from 1 species